AGUUUGAGGUUAAUUUUUUAAUAAAAACACUUAUUUUUACUUUUUAUUCGGGAUAAAUUUAAUUAUUUAGUUUAAUAAUGAGUAAUAAAGCUGUAAUUGUUAGCGGGGAAGCUUCAGAAACCGAUAGUGAUGAUGAUAUCGUCCGUGGUGCUUUGGAGUACUCCGAUGUAAACACAUUUCAAGCUUCAGUAAUUCAAGGUGAAGAUUCAGAAUCAGAUCAAGAAAUUGCAACUCCGAAACCAA
rnacentral:misc_RNA from 1 species